GGCAGCCGUUAGACAGCACAACCGAACCCAACACCGGGGCCCAACGGCAGGGGCUUGGGCAGGAGCAAGGUCCGAGGGCUGCCAGGUCCACGCUGCUUUUAUGAGCUGUAACACUCACCGCGAAGAUCUGCAGCUUCACUCCUGAGCCCAGCGAGACCACGAGCCCACCGGGAGGAACAAACAACUCCAGACGCGCUGCCUUAAGAGCUGUAACACUUGCCGUGAAGGUCUGCAGCUUCACUCCUGAGCCAGCGAGACCACGAACCCACCAGAAGGAAGAAACUCCGAACACAUCUCAACAUCAGAACGGACAGACUCCAGACGCACCACCUUAAGAGCUGUAACACUCACCGCGAGGUUCCGCGGCUUCAUUCUUGAAGUUCGUGAGCCACACAUCUCCCCACACCAAGCUCCUCCAUACAAGACCUCGGACUGCAUCACGUAAAUGCUUUUUCAGGGGCAAAAUCUAGAGAAUCUGAAACGAGCUAUCAGCUUCCCAGUUUGCACAAUUCAUCAAGAAAUUAUGCGGGGUCACUGGCACAAAUGAUGAGGCAUCUCCUGGAAGCUUAACUUCUUAUCCAUCCCAUCUCUUGGACAGAUGAUGCCAGUUAAUUACUUUGAAUGUGGCCUAGGGAUUUCUGGGAGGAUCCGAAGAACAAGGCUGUCUGCAGUAGGAGCCUCCUGUUCCUCGCCACCUAAGCUUCAGCCCUGCCCAACUAACAGCUCUCCAUGUUCUAAAGAAGGUGGGAGUGCUGGACCACCCCAGCCUUCUGGAACCCCAGUUCUGUGACAUUAUCCAUCUCCUGGAAAUAUGCUGGUUUUAACCAUGCAAACUGGCCAAGCAUCAGGCAGAAAUAGCAGCUGUGCCUGGAAGGACAGGUGACAUCUGUGAAGAAAAUGGCCAAGCAGGACAGGGUGGAGAGCACGGGCUGUUCCCUUCCUUUCUGGGAACAGCACCACCUUUGGGGGAACUCCUUCUCUCAUGGGGUUUUAGGCAGGGGCUGCCAGUCCCAGGGCCCUGCCUCCUGUCACCCCCCAUAUGCAUAGGAACACUUGUGCACCAGUCGCUACAUUUGCAAGUGGAAGCUGGUGGAGCUGCUCAGCUCCCAACAGGAAGCCCAUGUGUGCGGGGCCAGAGGACACAGCCCAUCUGAGGCGCUAAGCUUCUGUGAAGAGGGAGUGGAGUCUGGAUGGGAUUCCAAUCCCACGGUCCACCCCUUCUGGGACCCAGACUCACCCUUCCCCUUCCUUCAAUUCUGAGAAACAAUAAAUGUCCCUACUUGCGAACAA
rnacentral:lncRNA from 1 species